CACCUUGGCAAUAAGAUUAUUUUUGCCAUCUCUUAUUGAAAGGUUAUAAUCUCUCAUGUGAAUAUCAUAACCUUUCUCUAAGAGUUGUCCCAAACUCAAUAUAUUAUUCUUCAUAUUGGGCACGUAAUAAACGUUGGAAAUAAAUUCAUGAUUUCCAUUCUUCAAGCGGAUUAAAAUUUUCCCUUUUCCUCUAACUGGAAUUUUAGAUUCAUCA
rnacentral:lncRNA from 1 species